rfam:Dipodomys ordii contig_54538, whole genome shotgun sequence.
GGGAAGGUGGCUCAGUGGUAGAGUGCUUGCCUUGCACGCAUGGGGCCCUGGGUUCAAUUCCUCAGCACCCCA